GCCAUGCAUUUAUGAAAGUCUGACUUCAAAUGCCCAGAACCGUGUAAAAGCUAGGCACGCUAACAAGCAUCUGUAAUCCCCGAAGAUGAGAGACAGAAUUCCCAGAAGCUUGUGGACCCAGAUGGUAUACACAGCAGCAGACAAGAAACAAAGCAAGGUAGACAUCAAAGGUUUUUUUCUGGCCUCCACACAUGAACACAGAACCUCACAUGUAUGUAUAUAUAUGGUGAAAAUACAUUGACGUCAUACCUUGUUUAUGAAAUGUUCCAGGAGAAAACAGUCUGAGUAAAGAACCACGGAAGAUGCCAGCAAGGAUGGAAGAGGAAAGUGAUUGUGGAGUCAGUAGACGUAGCAAGGUGGAGUGCUGUGUGUAGGAAGGGUCAGUGGUAGACAAGGUGGAGUGCUGUGUGUAGGAAGGGUCAGUGGUAGACAAGGUGGAGUGCUGUGUGUAGGAAGGGUCAGUGGUAGACAAGGUGGAGUGCUGUAUGUAGGAAGGGUCAGU
ensembl:lncRNA